AAACAUCACUAACAUUGAUAAUUGUA
rnacentral:guide_RNA from 1 species